CAGUAGCCGCGGUAAUACGUAGGGUGCAAGCGUUAAUCGGAAUUACUGGGCGUAAAGCGUGCGCAGGCGGCUAUAUAAGUCAGAUGUGAAAUCCCCGGGCUCAACCUGGGAACUGCAUUUGAGACUGUAUGGCUAGAGUGUGUCAGAGGGGGGUAGAAUUCCACGUGUAGCAGUGAAAUGCGUAGAUAUGUGGAGGAAUACCGAUGGCGAAGGCAGCCCCCUGGGAUAACACUGACGCUCAUGCACGAAAGCGUGGGGAGCAAACAGGAUUAGAUACCCGAGUAGUCCCUGUCUCUUAUAC
rnacentral:rRNA from 1 species